AAGAUACUAGUAAAAUUUAGCCAUAACACCGCUUUGUCAAGGCGGAAUUGGGAGUUAAAAUCUCCCGUGUCUUG
rnacentral:tRNA from 1 species